UGUUACCCGCCCUUGGACCGUGUAUAAGUCUCCUGGAAUGGAGCGUCAUAGAGGGUGAGAAUCCCGUCUUUGACACGGACUACCAAUGCAUUGUGGUGCGCUCUCGAAGAGUCGAGUUGUUUGGGAAUGCAGCUCUAAAUGGGUGGUAAAUUCCAUCUAAAGCUAAAUAUUGGCGAGAGACCGAUAGCGAACAAGUACCGUGAGGGAAAGAUGAAAAGAACUUUGGAAAGAGAGUUAAACAGUACGUGAAAUUGCUGAAAGGGAAACGCUUGAAGUCAGUCGCGUUGGCCGGGGAUCAGCCUUGCUUUUUUGUGAGGUGUACUUCCUGGUUGACGGGUCAGCAUCAGUUUCGACCACUGGAGAAAGGCUUGGGGAAAUGUGGCAACUUCGGUUGUGUUAUAGCCCUUUGUUGUAUACAGUGGUUGGGACUGAGGAACUCAGCACGCCGCAAGGGCCGGGUUUCGACCACGUUCGUGCUUAGGAUGCUGGCAAAAUGGCUUUAAGCGACCCGUCUUGAAACACGGACCAAGGAGUCUAACAUGCUUGCGAGUGUUUGGGUGGAAAACCCGAGCGCGUAAUGAAAGUGAAAGUUGGGAUCUCUGUCGUGGAGAGCACCGACGCCCGGACCAGAAGUUUACUGACGGAUCUGCGGUAGAGCACGUAUGYUGGGACCCGAAAGAUGKUGAASUAGGCCUGAAUAGGGUGAAGCCAGAGGAAACUCUGCUCCCAACUCGUA
rnacentral:rRNA from 1 species